AGUCAAGGGAAGGGGAAGAUUGUUCAGAUUAACUUCUCAUCCACAACAGUUUCCCUGUACAUAUGAGGACCAAGCCAAGUUAAUCACUCAUAAGCUCGAUAUUGUGAAGAAGCCCUUUGGAGGCUAUGUUUCCAGUAUUAAAAGGGCAUUCAAAUUUCUCACAUCUUCCACAGUCUGCUCACUCCACAAGCUUUAAAAAUCUCUGUAUCUUUCCAUGUGAUGAAACAGGAACUUUACAUUUUGAGGGAAGUACUCCAGUUUAGAUACCUACAAUGUAGGUCUUCUUUUUGGCCUGGAUCUCAUCCAAAUCUAUGUAAGGGUAGUUCACUUUGAAAGGCUACUCAAAAACAAUGCCGCUGGCACUAACCAUUCCAUUAGUUCUCCCACUGCAUAGUAACAGCUCAAACAGAAUUCUGUGCACCCCACACCAACCUCAUAAACCUCUCUGCUGCUAUGCAAGUCUUUUCUUUCUUUGCUUUGGCAGAAGGGAAGGAAGCAAUACUUCAUCUACUUUGUCAUGCACAAAUUUAUUUUCUUAUAAAUAAAAAAUUAGAAAAGAAUUCUCCAAACAUUUGGAAAAACGGAAGAUGAAGUGGCAACUCAGUAAGGUAGCCGUAAUUAUGAGCAACAAGCUCAUCAUCCCACAUUAUUUUCCUACAGAAGUGUGGCUGCUUCUCUUGCAAACUCCUGCAACCUACCAGUGCCACUGUCUGAAGUGUCUGAGUGAAGUGUAAUAUAAAGACAGCACCAGAAGGAAUCAUGUACUCACAGAAAGAACAGCAUCCUCCCCUCCUGGUAGGAUGAACAUCUCCACUUCUCUUCAAGCUCCAAUGUAAGAGCAAGGGACUUCCGCAACAGCUUAGCUGAAUGCUGAACUGCUGAACAGAUGCAUUCGGAACACAACAACACUGGGCCCAAAUUUCACCACAUCAGAUUCAAAUGAGAAGUUCACAAGAGGUCACUUCAGAAUCCGUGCUGUACAACAGUCUACUCUGUGUGACAAAGGUGCUCUCUUUAAAUUCCUCUAUACUCUGCAGAUGAAGUUAGCACACUUCACCAGCUGUUACUUUGCUUCGGUAUAUAGUAUUUCAAUCCUGAUUAAAAGGCUUACCAGGAAGCACUCCCAAUCAUUUGCUAUAAACUGGUUGUUUGCUCUGUUUCAAGCUCAAAAUUGUAAUAGAGAUAUACUUCAAACAUACAGUGGUUCUCUCCAAAAUAAUAUAAAUGGAUUUUUUGUUGUUGUUGACAUUUUAA